GACCCGUUCUUCUAGAGGUUCAGAAUGCUGGCCCCUCAAGCCGGUGACAUCGGUUCGAAUCCGAUACGGGUUA
rnacentral:tRNA from 1 species